ACAGACUGUCGCAGUCUUCAGUAUCUCCCAAAAUUCACAGGACAAGGUAUUCUGUAAGCUUUAGUCCAGGGGCUCCUGAGGUUUGAGAGAAACCACCCCAAACCCAUACACACCAAAAGAGGACUCAACCCCCUUCACACAGCCCAGGGCAGUACGUGAGCUCCCCAAAUUAUUGCUUGGGUAAUUCACAGGUUCAUGUUCCUGAGUACCUCGUGCCUAAGAGCAAAACAGCUGAGGAGAAGGGUGCUGGAUCUGCUCCCACAGCUUUUUGGGGACAGCCACAGCAGAGAGGCUCCUCCUGUCCCCUGCACCCCACGCUCCUGCUGCUCCAACACCACUGCACAUCUGAGACUCAAGCUGUAAAAAUACUGUUAUAAAGAACAGUUUUCCAAUUGAUAGAAAUAAAUGAGAUGAUCUUGUGCUUGAAUGUUAGCA
rnacentral:lncRNA from 1 species